rnacentral:rRNA from 1 species
AGAGUUUGAUCAUGGCUCAGAUUGAACGCUGGCGGCAUGCCUUACACAUGCAAGUCGAACGGCAGCACGGAGCUUGCUCUGGUGGCGAGUGGCGAACGGGUGAGUAAUAUAUCGGAACGUACCCUAGAGUGGGGGAUAACGUAGCGAAAGUUACGCUAAUACCGCAUACGAUCUAAGGAUGAAAGUGGGGGAUCGCAAGACCUCAUGCUCGUGGAGCGGCCGAUAUCUGAUUAGCUAGUUGGUAGGGUAAAAGCCUACCAAGGCAUCGAUCAGUAGCUGGUCUGAGAGGACGACCAGCCACACUGGAACUGAGACACGGUCCAGACUCCUACGGGAGGCAGCAGUGGGGAAUUUUGGACAAUGGGCGAAAGCCUGAUCCAGCAAUGCCGCGUGAGUGAAGAAGGCCUUCGGGUUGUAAAGCUCUUUUGUCAGGGAAGAAACGGUGUGGGCUAAUAUCCCGCACUAAUGACGGUACCUGAAGAAUAAGCACCGGCUAACUACGUGCCAGCAGCCGCGGUAAUACGUAGGGUGCAAGCGUUAAUCGGAAUUACUGGGCGUAAAGCGUGCGCAGGCGGUUUUGUAAGUUUGUCGUGAAAGCCCCGGGCUCAACCUGGGAAUUGCGAUGAAGACUGCAAGGCUUGAAUCUGGCAGAGGGGGGUAGAAUUCCACGUAGCAGUGAAAUGCGUAGAGAUGUGGAGGAACACCGAUGGCGAAGGCAGCCCCCUGGGUCAAGAUUGACGCUCAUGCACGAAAGCGUGGGGAGCAAACAGGAUUAGAUACCCUAGUAGUCC